rnacentral:rRNA from 2 species
UCGAGCGGUAACAUGGGAGCUUGCUCCUGAUGACGAGCGGCGGACGGGUGAGUAACGCGUAGGAAUCUACCCAGUAGAGGGGGAUAGCCCGAGGAAACUCGGAUUAAUACCGCAUACGCCCCACGGGGGAAAGCGGGGGUCUUCGGACCUCGCGCUAUUGGAUGAGCCUGCGUUGGAUUAGCUAGUUGGUAGGGUAAAGGCCUACCGAGGCGACGAUCCAUAACUGGUCUGAGAGGAUGAUCAGUCACACUGGAACUGAGACACGGUCCAGACUCC